AAAAAGACAAACUCUAGAUUUUCGUGUCCCGUUUGACUGUCUAUCUUAUAUGAAAUUUUUUUAUAAUUAGUAUUUUUAUUGUUGUCAGAUGAUAAAACAUGAUUAAUACUCUAUGCGUAACUUGUCUUUUUAAUUUUUUUCAUAUUUUUUCAAAUAAGAUAAAUGAUUAAACGUUGGAAAAAAAAUCGAAGGUU
rnacentral:pre_miRNA from 1 species